UACGUAGGUGACGAGCGUUGCCGGAUUUACUGGGCGUAAAGAGCGCGCAGGCGGUCGUUCAAGUCGAGUGUGAAAGCCCCCGGCUCAACUGGGGGAGGGUCAUUCGAUACUGAUCGACUCGAAGGCAGGAGAGGGUAGUGGAAUUCCCGGUGUAGUGGUGAAAUGCGUAGAUAUCGGGAGGAACACCAGUGGCGAAGGCGACUACC
rnacentral:rRNA from 1 species